GACGAACGCUGGCGGCGUGCUUAACACAUGCAAGUCGAACGGAAAGGCCCUGCUUUUGUGGGGUGCUCGAGUGGCGAACGGGUGAGUAACACGUGAGUAACCUGCCCUUGACUUUGGGAUAACUUCAGGAAACUGGGGCUAAUACCGGAUAGGAGCUCCUGCUGCAUGGUGGGGGUUGGAAAGUUUCGGCGGUUGGGGAUGGACUCGCGGCUUAUCAGCUUGUUGGUGGGGUAGUGGCUUACCAAGGCUUUGACGGGUAGCCGGCCUGAGAGGGUGACCGGCCACAUUGGGACUGAGGGACGGCCCAGACUCCUACGGGAGGCAGCAGUGGGGAAUAUUGCACAAUGGGCGGAAGCCUGAUGCAGCAACGCCGCGUGCGGGAUGACGGCCUUCGGGUUGUAAACCGCUUUCGCCUGUGACGAAGCGUGAGUGACGGUAAUGGGUAAAGAAGCACCGGCUAACUACGUG
rnacentral:rRNA from 1 species